CCCGUAGCCCGGAUGGAGCGAAGCGUAAUCCGGGGCUGCCGCAUCCGCUGACGGAUUUGUCCCGGAUUGCGCUUCGCUCCAUCCGGGCUACAGG
rnacentral:pre_miRNA from 1 species